CCGCGACGUCGCGAGAAGUCCACUGAACCUUAUCAUUUAGAGGAAGGAGAAGUCGUAACAAGGUUUCCGUAGGUGAACCUGCGGAAGGAUCAUUGUCGAGACCCGAAUGGACGAUCGUGAACCCGUCGAUGCUCCGGCGGGUGGCAGAGGGAGGGCGGCAUCCGCUCGCUCGACCCUGCCACCCAGGAUGCCCCAUGGCCGCCCCCGCCCCGCCUUGCGACGGGACGGGUGGCGGGAACAAAUACCCGGCGCGGUGGGCGCCAAGGAGUAGUGAUGUCGGAGACCGUCGCGUGCCGGUUCCGCGCGCGCGGCGUGACCCUUCCAUACAUAUGUUAAACUUUUACGACUCUCGGCAACGGAUAUCUUGGCUCUCGCAUCGAUGAAGAACGUAGCGAAAUGCGAUACUUGGUGUGAAUUGCAGAAUCCCGUGAACCAUCGAGUCUUUGAACGCAAGUUGCGCCCGAGGCCAUCCGGCCGAGGGCACGCCUGCCUGGGCGUCAUGCCUCACGUCGCUCCGUGCACCCCGCCCCCUGGAUCGGGGAGGUGGCGGGCGCGGAUGCGGAGACUGGCCCCCCGUGCCUCGCGGUGCGGCGGGCUGAAGUGCGGGCUGCCGGUCGGGACGGAUGCGGCGAGUGGUGGACGGACACGUACGGCGCUCAGCGUCGCUUUUGCCCCCCGAUCCCAGUGGCCCAUGCAAGGAACCCAUGCCGUCGGGCGAGUGUGCCCCUCGGAACACGACCCCAGGUCAGGCGGGGCCACCCGCUGAGCUUAAGCAUAUCAAUAAGCGGAGGAGAAG
rnacentral:rRNA from 1 species